GGAGAGGUCGCAUAGUGGACGAGUGCGCUUGUCUUGAAAACAAGUGAGGGCGCAAGCUCUCCGUGGGUUCGAAUCCCACCCUCUCCG
rnacentral:tRNA from 1 species